rnacentral:RNase_P_RNA from 1 species
UUAUCGCUGUUCUGAUUUAUCGGGAGAGAGGAAAGUCCGGGCAACGCAGGGCACCGUGCUUCUUAGCGAGAAGAUCUUUGAAAGGGGAUAGCAACGUAACAGAAAAUAACCACCUUGUUGUGGCGUGUCCACGGCAGGGAACGGGUGAAAAGGUGCGGUAAAAGCGCACCGGUGGAGGUGGCAACAUCACCAGCCGUACGUCUCACGGGUUGCAAAGCCAUGUAUAUCCAAAGUGUUUGCCGCUGUUGCGGUACAGCGAAACGGCCCGUUUUGCUCUCAACGCACAAGAGACUUUGGAGGGGUAGGCUGCAGGAUCCCGGCAGUGAUGUCGGGACUAGAUAAAUGAUAAAGGACCGUCUUUUGACGGUUACAGGACCCGGCUUACAGGCUUGCCUU